rnacentral:rRNA from 1 species
GAUGAACGCUGGCGGCGUGCCUAAUACAUGCAAGUCGAGCGAACGGACGAGAAGCUUGCUUUUCUGAUGUUAGCGGCGGACGGGUGAGUAACACGUGGAUAACCUACCUAUAAGACUGGGAUAACUUCGGGAAACCGGAGCUAAUACCGGUUAAUAUUUUGAACCGCAUGGUUCAAAAGUGAACGACGGUUUUGCUGUCACUUAUAGAUGGAUCCGCGUUGCAUUAGCUAGUUGGUAAGGUAACGGCUUACCAAGGCAACGAUGCAUAGCUGACCUGAGAGGAUGAUCAGUCACACUGGAACUGAGACACGGUCCAGACUCCUACGGGAGGCAGCAGUAGGGAAUCUUCCACAAUGGGCGAAAGCCUGACGGAGCAACGCCGCGUGAGUGAUGAAGGUCUUCGGAUCGUAAAACUCUGUUAUUAGGGAAGAACAUAUGUGUAAGUAACUGUGCACAUCUUGACGGUACCUAAUCAGAAAGCCACGGCUAACUACGUG